GGAGGAGUUCCAGAGUGGUCGAAUGGGACGGUCUCGAAAAUCGUUGUGGAGGCGACUCCACCCAGGGUUCGAAUCCCUGCUCCUCCGCCA
rnacentral:tRNA from 1 species